UACGGAGGGAGCUAGCGUUGUUCGGAAUUACUGGGCGUAAAGCGCACGUAGGCGGCUUUCUAAGUCGGAGGUGAAAUCCUGGAGCUCAACUCCAGAACUGCCUUCGAUACUGGAGAGCUUGAGUCCGGGAGAGGUGAGUGGAACUGCGAGUGUAGAGGUGAAAUUCGUAGAUAUUCGCAAGAACACCAGUGGCGAAGGCGGCUCACUGGCCCGGUACUGACGCUGAGGUGCGAAAGCGUGGGGAGCAAACAGG
rnacentral:rRNA from 1 species